AUUUAUAUAGUUUAUUUAAAACAUUAUAUUUUCAUUAUAAAAAAAGAAAAGAAUCUUAUAAAUA
rnacentral:tRNA from 1 species